GGACGAACGCUGGCGGCGUGCUUAACACAUGCAAGUCGAACGAUGAAGCUGGGUGCUUGCACCUGGUGGAUUAGUGGCGAACGGGUGAGUAACACGUGAGUAACCUGCCCUCUACUCUGGGAUAAGCGCUGGAAACGGUGUCUAAUACUGGAUACGACCUUGAACCGCAUGGUUUCUUGGUGGAAAGUUUUUUCGGUAGGGGAUGGACUCGCGGCCUAUCAGCUUGAUGGUGAGGUAAUGGCUCACCAUGGCGACGACGGGUAGCCGGCCUGAGAGGGUGACCGGCCACACUGGGACUGAGACACGGCCCAGACUCCUACGGGAGGCAGCAGUGGGGAAUAUUGCACAAUGGGCGAAAGCCUGAUGCAGCAACGCCGCGUGAGGGAUGACGGCCUUCGGGUUGUAAACCUCUUUUAGUAGGGAAGAAGCUUUUGUGACGGUACCUACAGAAAAAGCACCGGCUAACUACGU
rnacentral:rRNA from 1 species